rnacentral:lncRNA from 1 species
AUUAGGACUAACUACUCUGUGAGAGUAUCUUUCGUCAUUAUUUUGCUUCCUUGUAUCUGUCUGAUAAAGUCUCACCUCUGAGAAAUGGUACACAGGGAUAUUAAAAGAAAGAAAAUCUUAAUAUAUUGCAAGCUCUGCUGCAGGCAGCUGGGAAUGUUUUCCAGAAAUAGAAGAUGGCUGUAACAAACAAUAAAAUAUAGGUGGUGAGAGCCAUGAAGAUAUCUUUAUCACAUCUGUCAUAGCUGUACAUCCUGACAGAAUGCCAGUGAGUCUGA